GGGCUGUGGCGCGCAGGGACCGCCCCCUGUCCGGCGCUGCAGCUGCCCGCCUGUGCCCAACAUGGCGAUGCAUAACAAGGCUGCGCCGCCGCAGAUCCCGGACACCCGGCGGGAGCUGGCGGAGCUCGUGAAGCGGAAGCAGGAGCUGGCGGAAACGCUGGCAAACUUGGAGAGACAGAUCUAUGCUUUUGAAGGAAGCUACCUGGAAGAUACUCAGAUGUACGGCAAUAUUAUUCGUGGCUGGGAUAGGUAUCUGACCAACCAAAAGAACUCCAACAGCAAAAACGAUCGAAGGAACCGGAAGUUUAAGGAGGCCGAGCGGCUCUUCAGUAAAUCCUCGGUUACUUCGGCAGCUGCAGUAAGCGCACUGGCAGGAGUUCAGGACCAGCUCAUUGAGAAGAGGGAGCCAGGAAGUGGGACGGAAAGUGACACUUCUCCAGACUUCCACAAUCAGGAGAAUGAGCCCAACCAGGAGGACCCUGAGGAUCUGGAUGGAUCUGUGCAGGGCGUGAAACCUCAGAAGGCUGCUUCGUCCACUUCCUCAGGGAGUCAUCACAGCAGCCAUAAAAAACGAAAGAAUAAAAACCGGCACAGGUCAGUGGUAGGGAGCUCCUCCCGCACCCCCCAUUCCCCGCCCCCCGCCGCCUGCCCGUCCUGCCCCCGCCGCCCCCCCAGAGUUUCUGUGACCGCAGCCACGCGGGGGCUCCACUAGAGCAAAAACUCUUCAGGGUUGGCUUGGUCCUUCUGUUGCUGCUGCGAAGCAGUUCUGUUCGUCCCAGUGAAACAGACGAGCUGAGGAGUCGGUCGGUGGGCCUGUGCAGCCCAUGUGGAAGGGCCGCCUUUUCCCUGCCCCUAGUGCAGAAGAAUUUUAUUUCACAAAAAAUUGGUUUCAUGCAGUGGAUUUGGAGUCCUUUUCGAGGUGGAAAAGGGAACUAGAAAUGGAGCCUGUGUAACAGUGUUUGAAAAGGGUCCCUAGUCCACGUUGGGAGGCUGCAGAGUGGGUUCGAGUCCUUUGCUCUUAAUGCCGAUCCCUGCCUACCUGUGUUUGCUCACGCAUGGAGAGAACUGAUCUGACGUGCGUUAUUUUCUUUCUAAACACGCUUUUUUAAUUGCAUGUGGUAUCUCUGUUUUUGUGUGUCUCUGCAAAAUGCUGAUUUCAGAUAUCAGAGGAACAAUGUCCAGUCUGAGCUGCGAGAGCGCCUUCCUAGAUAACGUGUGUCGCUGUGCUUUUUUGCAGUGGGCAGUGAGAUAGGAAUGACAUCAGUGGACAGAGAGGUCAGGAGUCGCCCAGAGAGGGUUUUAGCAUUCACUCCGCUUGGGGUUUGUACGAUCAUGCGAGGCCACUUAAUCUCAGGUCACCGGAAAUUACGCAGCUGCCUUCAGAGAGGGGAACGCCGUUUCCAGCGUGACGGGGCUGGGCCUGGCCGCAGACACUCUGGGAGGCCUGGAAGCCAGGCGUGCCUGUGUGGGCACUUCUCCGGCUCCCUCAGGAGCCUGCGUGUGAGGAGAUGCAUGGAGACCUGCAGGGGGUGGGUGGUGCUCCCUGCCAUCCAGUCUGCUUCUGGAUCAGGUCGCUUUGCACACUGGUAGGCUUUUCCUUCCUGCACCCAAGGUGCUACAUUGUUCUGUACAAGGUGCUCUGUGGGUGCGGCACAAGGGAAUAAUGCAGAAUUAAUGCUACUGGUUUAAGCCUCUUUGGAAUCCGUUGAUUCUUUCCUUCUGUUAAGAGUUUUUCUUGUUGGUGGCGGUGGUGGUUUUAGACUGCAGAAAUAGUAUUUCCUCCAAGUGGUGGCUGAGGACUGCCAGCUUAGCGUUUUUCUGCAAACCACAGAUCACCAGGCCGAUCUCACGAGUGCAGUAAGAAAUAGCACAAAUGACUUAUCUGUUCUUUUUGUGAGGCUGCUUGUCUGAUCGCUGGGACAGGGCUGAUGCUGGCUUAUCACAAAGAGCAGCAGAGAGCCACGCUCUUAAAAAUAUUUUUCAAAAUUGUCAAGAUAAUUAAAUGUCAUGCCCUGUGUUGCUUUUAUUAAAUGCGCUCCAGUAUCAUUUUGUAAUAGUAAUGAUGCUUUUCCUAUUUCAGCCCAGAGUAGGGGAAAUUCCUCUAACGUUUCUGGGACAUGUUUUUGAAUUACUGAUGGCCAACAGACACUCUCUAGGUAGCUCUUGUUUAUUUCAGGUAGUACCUCAUUUCCCUUUGUGACACGGUUACUGAUGAUAAAAUGGGACUAGGCGUUGAAUUUGACUUCUUGCGGGUUCCUAGUAGAUUUCUGUAGGGACUGCACUCCUUUCUACCCUUUUUUCUCCUGGCCCUGGAAGCUAACUCCUUCCAGAAAAAUACUAGGAUUUAUGAAGAUCUUUGUAUUGUUUUUACAAAUUGUAUUUUCACAAAUAGUGUUUUCUUUUUGGGAAGCAGGAUCCUGUGACCACUCCCCUGGUGUAAUCUGGCUGAGCCUGCCCCAGGGCAGCGGAGCAGAGCUGAUCUACCUCCUUUCUGGGGAAAGCAGGUGGGGUGUGCCCAGCUGGCAGCCCAGUGGCCAGUCAAGGCUCUCAGACCCCUGCCCUGUUUGGUCAGGAAGUGCAUCUGGCCCAGCCCCCGCCCCGGACGGCUGUCUGAGUGAGGGUGGCAGCGUGGGGCCGGGGUGCAGCACUCCGUAUGUGUGUUUGAGCUUGCAACCACCUGACGCUGUUCCUCCUGCAGCGGCCACACCCCAUGUGGCCGGAUGAAGUCAGCAGUGAAUUACUCCCACAGGUGUCUGAGCACCUGCUGUGUGCCUGGCAUGGUUUAGUGGGGGGUGGGGCAAAAUGGAAAUAAAUGUGGUAUCGUAGCAAAAAGGAAUAACUUUUGAAUUUGUCCUUUUCAGGAAUAUGAAAAUUUAUCAGAUAAUUUUUAUCAUUCAUAAAUGAUCACACUGUUCAGAAUUUUUAUUUUUUACAUGCUGUCUGAACAAGUUUCAGUAUCUUUAAAGAGAAAACAUUGAAAUAACAACUUACAGCCGCUCUUUUAGGUUUUUAUUACCGUGUCAAACUCCAGGACUCCUCUGGGUUGUUUGUGAAGUUGUCAUGAGGUGGCUGCUGUCUGCUUUGUGAACAAAGUUACGUGAUGCUGAGAGCUAAGUUUUUGAUAGUUCCUGGUUUGUACACUUACUUUAUACUCUCUCCCAAGUGGCCUGGGCGCAGCUGUGCAUCAGGGGUGUGGAGGCGCGGCUCUCUUCCCUCUCUGCUCUCGCACACGUUGGCUGGGAGGGAAAGACAGCCGUUGGCAUGUUGUGCUACCACCCGUGUGCAGUCGCAGAGGCUGGAGCCAGCUGGGAGCCGGGGUCAUGCGUGGGGCUGGCGUGGGCCCUGGAGGCCUCUGCCCAGACCCUGGUCUGUGAGCCUGGCGGCCCCAUGUGGCUCUCUCCUCGGAUGGCUGCCCUCCGGGUCCCUGAGCCCUGGGUGCUUGUGGGUGUCAACUUCCCUUUGCUUUCAUAGGGGUGCAGCCGACGUGGGUGUCCCCUAACUGCAGCCCUGGCGUAAACAGCUAACCGCCGUCACCAGUUCAGGCUCCGCAGUUUCUGGAACAAGACUCACCUAUCGCUGCGGUGCAUUCAUUCGACUCCUGGCUUCUAGAGUGAAUGCUGUAGAAAAGGAGGACCACAUUUAGAACAUAUAACUUGUUUAGAACAUAUAACUUGAGUUAAAAGUUGCAAAAUGUUUUUUUAAUGUAUGUUUUUAUCUUUUGUUUUGCCGAGUUGUUAGUACUGUCUUCAAAGCACCUUUCAUCGUAUGACUAAACCCUUCUUUCUCUGUUUCUCCUAAUGCUCUAAUUAUAUUUGUCAUCACCAUUAAAUGUUUCCCAAGCUCUAACUCGGGGUCUGGCAGCUGGUGGAGGCCUGCAGGUACCUAGUUUUCUAAUGAAGUAACUCUUCCUUUCAUAAUCUGUUCUUCUGAUAUGAAAACCAUUGAGGGAAGGGAGUCUCCCAACCACAGAACCUUUGAUGCUUUGAUGUUUGAAAACUUUAUGGCUUAAGAUUCUUAAAGCUGAUUUUGUUUCUACAAAUCUUGCUACGGUGGCUAAUUGACUAAUUUAUUCAAUUAGUAUAUUAAUUUCUAUUGCUUUCUUCCUUUCAAAUGCUGCCCCUCAGCCCGUCUGGCAUGUUUGAUUAUGACUUUGAGUAAGUUUGAUUUGAAUUAGUAUUUGUGCUGUGUUGUUUAGUGUGUAGAGACCAAUAUGCCUUUUUGAGACCUUUCUAACCCAUAGUUUAUCUGUUUAAUUGUAGGUAUGUAUAUUAGGUUAGGCUGGGAAGUUUUUUUUAAAAACAGAAAAACGUGAUGGAGGAUUGAUCUGAAGUUAAACAAAAAACCACGAGCUGACUAUUAGAAGACUCACUAGUGCAGAAGCUUCCAGGCUGUAAGCCCCGCCUCCCUGCUCCGACCUCGCAGAGACACACCUCCCCUGCCCACGUGCGUGCGUGCGUGCGUGCACGUGGCCGUCCCGCUCUGCUCUCCCGGACCCAGCGCCUGUGACUCUGAGUCGUUCGUCCUGAAACGUGGUGACAAGUCCUGUCCGUAAGGCCACAUUGCAUCAUUCACUUUGUGUCAUUUUCAGUAACAGAACUGCAGGAAGACCGUGACGUGGUUAUGGUCCCGGCCAGUUGCUAACUGAGUCUCUCCCUUCUCGGAGCGAACGUCUGCCCCCGAGAUCGAUCCGCCGGCCGCAGCUCCCUUCGCGGUCCCCGCCGGGAAACUGCCUCUGCUUUGGUUUUACGCUGGAAGUAGGGACGCGGUCACGGCUCAGACGGAGGCUAUAAACACCGGGCAUUUUCUUAUUUCGUUUGUGUUUUAUCAUUUUUCUAUUGUUGUUUUUACCAUUUCACUUUCUUUUGGGACUUUUUGUAAUGACUUUGUACAGCUCAUACCUUCCUGCUGACAUAUCUAACAGUCUGUUUCGCAGAGUUGCCAGUGUCCUUGGACUGAAAGUAGUCUGGUUUGCCAAAAAUAAAAUGGGGAACUCGGCUCUUUGGGUUUGCGCAGGGGAAAGGUAAAAUGUUUAUUUAACAAUCACCUCCCUUAAACCUUUCUGAAUUGGAAGCAGUUUCCAUGUUGAAAGAAUAGAAAAAACUGAAAAACAUAAGUUUUAAUCAGUCCUUUUAAAAUAUUUUUAUUCUUUUAUAUAAAUAAAGUAUCACAGGGUUUGAUUUCUCAUGCUUUACUUUUAAACCUGAGGGGUUUUUUUCACUUAUUUAUUCGCAUCAUGCCUUAUGGAAAUUUUUUCCCAUCUUAUCUCUCUUUGCUCGUAUUGCCUGAUUAAAUAGUGCUUAAAAAUCACUAAGGCAUAUGGAAAGGCUGGAAGUUGCACCCACAGCUGAUAACACGCGGAGUUCUUGAACAGAGGGAAAGACAGGAUCAGUGAGAGCCAGCAGCACCCACUGCCCCUGGUCACGUGGAGGAGCCGGGGAACUUGCUGAUAAUUGCUACCAGCCUCUGGAGCGGCGGUGCUCUGCCGCGGCUGCACAUUGGAAUCACCCGGGAAGCUUAAAAAAAUACUGAUGCCUGGGCCCCACCCCCAGAGACUCUGGGCCAGGGUACAGCCUGGUGAUGGGGAUUUCCUUUCAAAGACUCCCUGGAAUUCUGAUAGGAAGCCAAGUCAGGAAUUACUGCGCUGGGAGGCUGGCCAGUGCGGUUUGAACCCCGUGUUGUGAAUCAGUGUAAGGGAUGAGAUUUGGGGGCCUUGCUUUUCCUCUGACUCUAUUUAGUCAUAGUCCUUAUGCCUAUAUCUCUGUUAGAGAAACAUGUUCCAUUUGUGAUAAUAUUGGUAGAGCUGAAUGUGGGUGGCGUUGAUUAUCAAAACAAUUCUACCUUGUCUGUGCAAAAGCUUUCACUCUUGUUCUUAAAUAAACCUUUUCUUUUUCUUUUCUUU